rnacentral:lncRNA from 1 species
AAUAAAACUUGUUGGUUUAAGAAAUUGGACGUUGGUUUUUGAGUGUAUAUGUACUUUGGUCUAUUGCUGUUUCUUCUGUCUGGGAUUCAGUAUUCCCUGGGAAUAGUGUCAUGACAUGAGAUGGCUCAAUUGGUAAGAACACUUAAUAUUCAAGUAUGAGGAUCCCUAGCAUCUGCACACACACACACGUGUGUGUGUGUGUGUGUGUGUGUGUGUGUGCGUGCGCGCGCGCGCGCUCGCUCAAGAGUAUAGAUGCUUCAUUUCCUCCAUCAAGCCAUUGUUUAUUCCUUAGAAGUAGCCUAUCAGGUUCCUGGCCUAGACAGAGACUGAGAUAUUUAUGUGCAUUUGGGGUGGUUUCUAAGUACAGCCUUCUCUAGAAUGUCCCAGAGACUGAUUCCAGCACAUUGCAGAUUCUAAGAUGUGUGUCCAUUUACACAAUGGCAUGGCAUUUGUGUAGAACCUUUGAAAAAUGUUGUGUUUCCUAUUAAACCAUCUCUUGAUGAUUUAUAAUAUCUGGUAUGUAGUAAAUGAGUGGAGACAGUCAUUCAAUAUAGGUGUUACUCAAAAGUGUAUUUGUUUUACAUUUGGUUGACUUGAAGGAUAUGCAUAGAUAUAUUCACAAACAUAUGUGUGUGUGUUUUUUACAUAUGUGUGUUGUUGUUUAAGAUAUUGCCUUUCACAGAACCCAGAACUCAGCGACUUGACCAGACUGGUGGCUAGCCUAGGGGUCCUCCUGUGACCACCUCCUCACCACUGAGAUUACAGGUGUUUGUCUAGAUUUCUACUUGUGCACUGGGCUCAGGACUGGGGUCCUUGGCCUUCUCUGGCAAGCAUUUCACGGACUGAACCAUCUUCUCAGUUCCACGUGUCACAAUAUUGUCUUCAUGUUUACCACUGUAUAUUCAUAGCCUGUUUCAUAAAUCUCAGUUCACUAGAGGUUUUCAUUUUCUUAUUUACUAGGCAUUUGGCUGCUUAGUGCUUGUCUGCACGUCACAAUCCUUGCACAGCUUUAGGAGGGGCUCCUUUAGGACCCCUUCCCCUCUCCCCAAAUCUGCUCGGGAUCUCUGUGUUUCCCAGGAUUGUAAAGACCAGCUGAUAGAGCCACCACACCCCUAUGUCCUCACCAGCCUUGGGUACCACCUCGAGUGCUGGGCACGGGGAAAGCGACACCAGCAUUUCUGAUUUGACUGACGAAAAAUGCUAACGGUGUGCUGCUGUCUUGCUUAGCAUUUCAUGAGUAUCUCGUGCCUGUUUUUCCUCUUCUUCAUUGGCAUUUGCUCUUUAAAAUUCAAAUAUUUCUUCCACUCAGGUAAAAUGUUCUUAAUCGAGCUUCAAACAGAAAAGGUCAGAGAGAGGCUAAAACUCCCCGGAAGCUUACAUACAUAAUGCAGAGUAUUGGCUGCCUACGCUUAUAAAUACCUGCCUCAGCUUUCUUUCUUUCUUUGGAGUUUUUCAUCUUUUUUGUUUGUUUGUUUGUUUGUUUGUUUUGUGCCCUCCUCUAGCCUGUCCUGUCAUAAUAGGGUAUGUCCAAGGCUGCGUUUCUCUGUCUUAUAAUCGAUGUGCCGUGCUUAAAAGAAGCACACAAGCAUUAUUAACUGUGUGUGCCACUCUGAAACUUGCAUUUAGCAACUUGAUUUUGUUUAGUGCAUGCAUCCAGGUUGAUUUGCAUAAAUUCCUGUUCGUAAUUCCCCCUGAGAAUGUGUGUGGCUUUCCAGCUAGGGUUCUACAACUGCCAAUUCAAACAAAUCGGAUGAAAAUAUUUGGAGAAAAUAAUUGGUAUCUCUACUGAACACGCUCCCAUUUUCCUGGCACUGCUUGCUAAACAGUUCAGUUACAAAAGUACUUAUAUAGUAUUUUUCCUUAUAUUUUGUAUCUUAAGUCAACUAACUGUGACCUACGAAUAUGUUGGAGGGUGUCUACAGGUUCUGUACGAGGACCAGGCCAUUUUACAUGAGGCACUAGAUUAUACCUUAGUUUUGGCUAUAUUCCUUAAAUUAAUUUUCAAAUUGUUCAUUGUUGGUAUACAGAAAUAUAAUGAAUUUUUGUAUAUUUAACUUGUAUUCUGUAGCUUGGGUUAUUGGCUUCAAUUGUAUGUAUAUGUGUGUGUUCUUUAUAGAGAUUUACUACUACUACUGCAAAGUUGGGUCAUCUUCAGGAAGAAAUUAACUUCUGCCUGUCUAUGGAUGCAUUUUUAUAUAGUUUUCUUGCCUGUGACUUCUGUACUUGGACAGAACCUCCAGAAUAAUGCUGCAUGGGAACUGACAUCCUCACAUUCUUCAGAUAUAUAUAUAUAUAUUGAGACAGGGUUUCCCUAUGUAUGCUUAGCUGUUCUGGAACUUGCUUUGUAGACCAGGCUGGCCUCAAACUUGUAUAGAUCCACCUGCCUCUGGCUUCUGAGUACUGAGGCUAAAGAUGUGUGCUACCAUGCCCGGCUUCCUUCUUCAGAUCUUAGGUGGGGAAUCUUUUCCGUCUUCAGCAUCAGUGUCAGUUUCUUAGAAUGUCCGGUAGCAAGCUGAGGAAUUGCCUUCUGUUCUCUGUUGAGUAUUUCUGACCAUGAAAAGAUGUUGGAAUUGGUCAAGUACCUUUUCUCCAUCAAUCAAGAUGGUCACGUAGGUUUGUGCUUCCUUCUGUUAAGAAGCUCUAUUAUGUUGAUUGAUUUUUGUAUGUUUGGCAUAUUUUAUGUUUUAGGAAUCAAGUCUUGUUUGGUCAUGGUGAAUAUAUAAUUCCGUUAAUAUGUGUAUUUAUUAUCUAUCACUCUGAUAAAACACCAUGAUCAAGGCAAUUUAUAGAUGGAAGGGUGUGUAUUGGGCUUACAGUUCCACAGAGGUGAGUCUGUUACCUUCACCUUCGCCAUCACCAUCACCAUCACCAUCACCAUCACCAUCACCAUCACCAUCACCAUCACCAUCACCAUCACCAUCAUGGUGGGGAGCAUGGCAGCUGGCAGGCAUGGUAGCAGGAGAGGCUGAGAGCUCACAUCUCUAAAUGCAAGAGGGGAAACUGAGAGCGCUACCUGGGGAUGCCAGGAGGCUUUUGAGGCUUCAAAGACCUCCUGCACUGACAUACUUCCUAUAGCAAGGUUGUACCUCCCAAAGCCCCAUGAGCAUUAUGACCAAAGGUGGACCAAGUACUCAAAUGCCUAGAAUAUGGGAGAUAUCUUCUUCAAACCCCCACAACACUAUUCAUUCUCUUGGCUAAAAAUUUUGUAACUGUGUGCUUACUAUCAUUUUUUUUUUCUUGGAGAUGUCCUUGGGUUAGCUAUUGCAAACAUUUUUUUAAAGACAGAACUCACACUAGAAGGUCUCAACACCUCAUUUUCAACAGUUCAUCAGCACAGAACAUCACUAAGGAAACAGAUUUCAGCUGCAUUGAAGAGUACAUGAACCUUACAGACAUAAUAGUAUUCCAUCCCAUGGUAACGGAAUAUACAUUCUUAAUACAC